rnacentral:rRNA from 1 species
ACGCUCGACACCUACGGGAGACAGCAGGUGGGGAAUAUUGCACAAUGGGGGAAACCCUGAUGCAGCAACGCCGCGUGAAGGAAGACGGUUUUCGGAUUGUAAACUUCUGUUCUUAGUGAAGAUAGUGACGGUAGCUAAGGAGCAAGCCACGGCUAACUACGUGCCAGUAGCCGCGGUAAUCUGAGCGGGCUGGCAAGGC